ensembl:lncRNA
UAUGGCUUAAAGGAAACCACUUCGAAACUUAUGAACCUUUACAAGACCGUCUUACUGAUGAUGGUGUCUAUCUGCAGUAGAUUUCUUUUCUUGUCACUCCAUGGCAUGAAGCUUCUGAUGUGCUUAUGAUCUCACUCUCAUCAGAACCACUGGCUUGGCUUGGAAGCCCGCAAGGACACUCCUUGGCUCUGUGCCACAAACAACAAUGCUAUCAAUCUUGUUCCAGACCUGUCUGGGUGAUACUUAUCGAAUAGUUCUUUGAAGAGUUCUUGCCUGUUCUAGAACAUGCAUCCACACCCCUGUGUGAGGCACCAGGACUGAGUACGGCUGGACCCACAUUGCUGCUGGUCCCCUUAAGUUUAUUCAACUCUGUUUCAGAGACUGAUUUUAAACCCCCCGGGAUUGGCAUAAGCUUUUUCACCUAGGGGUUAUAUAGACCUACAAGGCUGUGCUGGUGCCAUUUUGCCAGAACUCAUGCUUGUUAAACAUUUUCCUGUAGAUCAAAUUCAAAGGGAUUCAAGAGUGCCAUUCAACCUUGCAGUAAUGGGCAAAGAAUAGGGAAAAAAAGAGAGACUGAAUGGAGGAUCUGAGUCUAAGGAGGAAACCGCUCAGUACAGGUCAAACAGAGAAUUGCUGCAUGUCCUGCAAAUAUUUGCUGUGAUGGUACAUGGGGGAGAUAUGAAAACAAUCUGAAAAUCUGAGGGAUUGCCAUCUUCAGAAGAAGGGGAAUCAGAGUGCAGACUGAACAAUCCCAGUGCCCUCAGCCACUCCUCAUAGGACUUGUGCUCCACAUCCUUCAUCAGCUUUGUUGCCCUUCUCUGGACGCAAAGAAAGUCCAUUAAAGCCCACCCAUUACCUUCACUUCCUAGAGGGUAAGAAAGAAAGGUAGAAAACAUGGCUUUUCUGCUCCUUCCUCACCUUCUAACAUCUGUGGCUACAGACAGCCCUGAAAGUGUGGAGAAGCAGAAUUCAUCACAAAUAACAGGUAAGUAAAGUACUUGCAUCUAUAAUUGGGUAGUCAGGUAUCUGGCUUUGCUUUUACUGAAGUUCAAUAGACACUGAAAGAAAAGGCAUUUUAAUGUUCAGGAUGCAUGGGUUAUCCCACUGGAGGCCCAUUCUCUGUGCCUAAGUGUGUUUCAUAUCAGGCCCUGCAGAACUUGCAGCUGACUGGUCUCAAGUGGAUGUGGGCUUCUAAGCACAGAUCACUUCUGAAAUGAGAGCUCUGGCAACUCUUCCCUUGGAGUAUUUCAUGUGUUCUGUUCCAAUGUGUCUUCAGGCCUUGCCAAGCUUUUUCUGUGAGUUUGUAACUAUACUGAAAAUACGAAAGAGUUCACUCUCAACAAAAUUUGGUAGGUAACUUUUAUCCUAGUUUGAACUGAGCAUAUGGCUUUCUCUCUGUAGCUGUUUAAUUGCUUCCUUCUUGUUUCAUGACAACCAAUUGGCUCAUAACUCUCUUUUCCCUGUGUGAAGUGGGACCUGCGAGCAGUGUAUCAUUCUGCUGUGCACACCCUCUAGACAUGCUGCUGUAAACAGGUACCUCUAUAGUGCAGAUGUUCUUCAGACAUCUAGUUGCUAUAGUGGUGAAAAAGAGAAUACUGACUGCAGACUAUUAAGGUCUUCCUUGCUUCAGGCUAGCAAGAGCUGACAUUGUGUUUGAGGUGGUUAUUGCUGCCAGCCCUUCUCCUAACUCCUGGUGGAUGAAAAACUUAGCAUGAGCCAGCAGUGUGCUCUUGCAGCUUGGAAAGCAAAUGGUAUUCUGGGCUCCAGCAGAUGAGGGGUGGCCAGCAGGGGCAGGGAGGUGAUUGUUCCUCUCUACUCUGCCCUCAUGAAGCCCCAUCUGGAGUACUGCAUCCAGUUCUGGGGCCUCAAAUACAAGAAAGACAGGGAGCUGUUGGAGGGGGUCCAGAGGAGGACCACAAAGAUGAUUAGAGGGCUGCAGCACCUCCCUAUGAAGACAGGCUGAAGGAGCUAGGCUUGUUCAGCCUGGAGAAGAGAAGGCUUCAGGGUGACCUCAUUGCAGCUUUCCAGUCUACAAACAGGAGGGGAGUCAACUCUUUGAAAGCGUAGAUAACAUCAGGACUAGGGGAAAUGGUUUUAAGUUGAGGGAAGGAAGAUUUAGGUUGUAUGUCAGGGGGAAGUUCUUUACCAAGAGAGUGGUGAGGUGCUGGAACAGGCUGCCCAGAGAGGCUGUGGAUGCCCCAACCCUGGAGGUGUUCGAGGCCAGGUUGGAUGGGGCCCUGGGCAGCCUGGUCUAGUAUUAGAAAUAGAGAUUGGUGGCCCUACAUGCAGCAGGGGGUUGGAGCUUGAUGAUCUUUACAAUCUUUCCAACCCAAGUCAUUCUAUGAUUCGAUGAAUUUAGCUGCUAGCUCUGAUCUACUCACUUCCUAGACACUUUACUACCGCGGAGUCCUGCAGCUAUGAAAAUUAGGGAAUAGUUAGAUGAAAUGACCUUUUUCUCAUUCUACAGAGUACUUGUCUGUGAGCACGCCUGUAGAAGGCUUCUAUGUGUUGCACAGCAGUGCAACUUACCACUAGAUGGCUGGACCUCCUCUUUGUCCUGCUCUCAGUUUUCUCAAGCUGACAAUGCUUAAAGCAGAACAAUGGACUUUUUGUAAACUCUCUUGCCGCUCCCUUUAUAACUUAUCAUUUCUAGCAGUGCAUGCUUUUAGCAAAUUUACUUUUAAGAUGAAUAGAUGAAACGAACUUUUCAAACAUACUGAGAGCUGUGUUUAUUUCUAAGAAAGUGAUGAACAUUAUGUAAGGCAAAAACAAAGAAGAAAAACCUCCGUAUUGCUGUUCUUUUUGCAUUCCACAAAUAACAACACAAAUUUCACAGUCUUUUAUUUCACAGGUGCAUGCAUGAGUGUGACACAUUCUUCAGUUAAUCUUUCAGACUAGGACAGAGCAUGAUAAACUCCUGAGAAGUCAUGACAUAGCCACAUAUCUUAGUCUGGUGAAUUUGAUGAGGCACCAUUUGCAAAGCUUUGAGAUAUGUGACUUAUGGUCAUUCUGAUUUUGUUCAGGAGGGAUAUUUCUGUCCCAAAAUAUCUUUCCUUGCCCAAAUAAAAAAUAUUUUACUUACAGUCAGUUUCUUCUAAGAAGUUAAUACUUCUGGGUGGAAGAACAUCAACUUCCCUGAGGACUGCAGACUGAUACAAUACACAGAGCAAGCAGGACUACCCUGAAAGGGAUAUAAGACAAAAAGAUAAAGUAUACAUCUGCAUCAUGGCUUUAUGAUUUUUGUCAUUAGUAUUUCACAUCACAACAUCAUGUAAUGCACUGGGAGUUAAUGUUAAGUUAAUGCUCCAGUUCUGUGGAUUGUUGAUAUUUCCAGGUACCUGGUCUCAGAGGAGAACUACAUCUCCCAGAAGAUGUUCACUGUUCCCUUUCUGUUACAUUUUAAAAUCAGAGAGAUACAUUUUAAAACUAAGAUUCCUUUAGUUGUUUUGCUAUUACGUUGUGCAUUGCCAACUUGCAGAAGCAAGGACAGACAGUCCCUGCCUCUGCUCUAAGGGACUGAUACAUCAAACUUGGAAAUGUUGGGGCUCUUCAACAAUUAUGAGAAAGGCUAAGGAAGAUGGACUUAAAGAUAGGUGGUACAUGAAAAAGUAAGGUGGAGAUGGUUCCAGAAGUACAUCUGGGGUAGGAUUUCUUCUCUUUUUCCAAAUACUGGUUCAGGUUUCAGUCACUUGCAGUUCAAUUUCCUUGGAAGACUAUAACAGCAAAAUAGCUGAUGGUAUAAUUACUGCAGUAAAGAGAAGCAGGAAAUUAAAAUGAACUCCACCCAUACCAACGCAGAGAUUAACAGAGAGAAGCAUACAGCAAGCUACAAGACUAUGAAAAACAAGACUUUUCAAAGGCAACUGAAACCUGACAAGAAUAUCGAUGGCUCCUUUUUUUACCUCAUGCACUUGAAUGUUUCUGAUCUUGUAAAUGUAAUGAGAGAAUAAAAAAUGCCUGGGAUUUUCUACUUAUUAGAUUUGCAAGCAAACAAACUACAUAUUUUCCUGAAGCAUCUUCACUUUAAAGGUGUCCAAAGGGUAAUGUGUGCAGGCUAUUUAUUAUGAAGUGUUAACUUUGAAAAUAUUCUAGGAACAAAAUCUGGCUUAAGACUCUCAAAAUACUGCAGUUCCCAAGUAAGUACGGGAAUCAUGUGGCUAGCCUGAGCCCUAUCUUUUGCUGCUCAAUCCUGUCACAAACAGUACGCUACCACUGAGAAUACAGCACUAUCUGCCAAAGAUGUAGCAUU